GGUCCAGACUCCUACGGGAGGCAGCAGUGGGGAAUAUUGCACAAUGGGCGCAAGCCUGAUGCAGCCAUGCCGCGUGUGUGAAGAAGGCCUUCGGGUUGUAAAGCACUUUCAGUCGUGAGGAAGGCGGUGUAGUUAAUAGCUGCAUCGUUUGACGUUAGCGACAGAAGAAGCACCGGCUAACUCCGUGCCAGCAGCCGCGGUAAUACGGAGGGUGCGAGCGUUAAUCGGAAUUACUGGGCGUAAAGCGCAUGCAGGUGGUUUGUUAAGUCAGAUGUGAAAGCCCGGGGCUCAACCUCGGAAUUGCAUUUGAAACUGGCAGACUAGAGUACUGUAGAGGGGGGUAGAAUUUCAGGUGUAGCGGUGAAAUGCGUAGAGAUCUGAAGGAAUACCGGUGGCGAAGGCGGCCCCCUGGACAGAUACUGACACUCAGAUGCGAAAGCGUGGGGAGCAAACAGGAUUAGAUACCCUGGUAGUCCACGCCGUAAACGAUGUCUACUUGGAGGUUGUGGCCUUGAGCCGUGGCUUUCGGAGCUAACGCGUUAAGUAGACCGCCUGGGGAGUACGGUCGCAAGAUUAAAACUCAAAUGAAUUGACGGGGGCCCGCACAAGCGGUGGAGCAUGUGGUUUAAUUCGAUGCAACGCGAAGAACCUUACCUACUCUUGACAUCCAGAGAACUUUCCAGAGAUGGAUUGGUGCCUUCGGGAACUCUGAGACAGGUGCUGCAUGGCUGUCGUCAGCUCGUGUUGUGAAAUGUUGGGUUAAGUCCCGCAACGAGCGCAACCCUUAUCCUUGUUUGCCAGCGAGUAAUGUCGGGAACUCCAGGGAGACUGCCGGUGAUAAACCGGAGGAAGGUGGGGACGACGUCAAGUCAUCAUGGCCCUUACGAGUAGGGCUACACACGUGCUACAAUGGCGCAUACAGAGGGC
rnacentral:rRNA from 1 species